GAUGAGGGAGGAAAGUUAAACCAGCCCUACGGGGAUUAAGGAGUAAUUUAAAAAUCCCGGGUGUUUUUGUUUGUUUGUUUGUGUAUUUAGAAGACCUAGUACCGGAUGGAUUGACUUCAAAACUAGAGUGAAUAGUUACAAGAAAAAAAGACAUAAUGAUCCACAAAUUCACUGACUCAGAAUAUUGAAGAGUGACCGUGGGCCAGGCUCUUGGCUAGACACUGCGGGGAGAGGGAGAAGUGAACAAGGCUCGCGCCCUUGGAAUGUUGACUUGAGCGGCGCGUGUGCAAACGGGAUGCAGAGAGACAAUACUCAGGAUAGAGAAGGUCAUCCCACCACAAGAAAAUUUGUCCAAGGGCAUGCACAUCCUGGAAAUUGACUCUGCCUAUCUUUAGGAGGUCCCCUAGUUCCUGGAUGGUGGAAGUGUUUUCAGGAGAUAUUUUGUAUGCUGGAUUGGCACCGAGGAGUUAGGACAGCCACACUUUGAGAUAAUGACUAAAUGCCCAUCUAUGCAUCCAUCCACUCAAGGGACCUCUAAAAUUGCCCAAAACGGCCAGCAAUCCCUGUACCGGCAAAUGAAAGAUUAUUCCAGACUUUGCUGUGAAAGAGAGGAGAAGGGUGCCGGGGCUGUGCUCAGAGGAGAUCAUGAUCCAUGGAAAGAUGACCUGAACCUGUCAACUUGGAGCCAAUUUGAGCAUAUGGAGGCAAAGAGUCAAAACGGAAAGAAAGAGAGAGACUCUUCUGGAUUUUGUGCAGCUCUGUAAUUUAAACAGGGUUGCGCGUGGCAGCAGGCUGCCUGGUGUGUCAGAGUGGACGCAAAGAUGGUAAACCGGAAGGAGGCCUGGAAAGAAGGGAAAUGGGUAAUGAGCAUCUCUUGAGACAAAGCAGUGUGUGUGUGUGUGUGUGUGUGUGUGCGUGUGCGCGUGUGCCAUGUGUUUUAGCAAGGUUUAAAAAGGUUUUAUUAAAUUGGAGGCAUCCAAUUUAGGGGGCACCUGGGUGACUCCAUCAGAAGAGCUUGCAAAUCUUGAUCUCGGGUUCAAGCCCCACCUUGGGCCUAGAGCUUACUUAAAAAAAUAACAAAAAAAUAAAUUGGAAGCCUCAGGAUGAACUUGCAGCUUAAAAAAUUUUCCCUUCUAAAGCUGAACGAGUCUAGACUGCCCCCCGGUCUUACUCUCUCUAAAGCUGGUUGUGUGGAACAUUGAAUGUUCUGUUAUUCUUCCAGUAAAAGAAGGUUGGGGAGGGGUACCAAAUCUGGGGGUCAAAUAUAAAAAGGAGCUUAGAAUAGGAAGGAACAGCCAAGAAAUGUUUGCAAAAGAAGAGGAAUUCUGGGGGUUCCAAGUAGGUGUGAAAAUGUAUUUCCAAGUUCCACUGUUUGCCGGUGUGAUUUGCCAACAGGAACAGCAGACAUUCCCCAAGAAGGGCUGGCCCCCAUAAGGACGAACCUGCCUUAGAAUCUAGUAUGUGAACAAGGAAGUAUUACAAACCACUGUGGAAGGGGAAUCUAGGUAUUUGCAGAAAAGUUGGGUUUAAAACCUCUCCUUGCAUACCAAUCAAAAUAGAUUUAAAAAAUGAAACAUGAAGGAAGAGAACAUACAGCUGAAUGUAGCUCAUUUUUCCCCCAAGUAUAGGACUUCCUAGGCUUGGAUAAUCACACAGGAAAACUGUGUGUAUUUGACUGCAGAAAAUUAAAUACGUUUGUGUCGUAAAAUAUUAUAAACCAAAUCCAAUGGAAACUGAUGAACAGAGAGACAUUUUUACAACACACAUGGCUGACAGCUUUCUAGCCACACACACACACAAAAAUCAUUGUGGUAAAGCAGUCAGAAACUCAUAUUAUCCCAGUAGCAAAAGGACAAAUAUAACAAAUAAUUGACAGAAGAAAAUAAUUACAGAUGUCCCAUAAACAUGUGAUAAUUCAUCCACGACAUGUAUUUUUAAAAGGAAAAUAAAAAUAACUCACUAAUUUUUUGGCCUAUAAGAUAGACAGAACUUUAAAAUGGCAACACUUGUUCAUGAGGAUAAAGCACGUAAGGGUCCUCAGCCAAUGAUGACAAGUUGGGCUUGUAAUCAUUUUGGAAAUGCAUCAGGAACUUAGGUAGUAAUUAUGUCUUUCACCUCGUAACCCUCCCUUCUAGACUCUAGCUGAUGAGAACCUCAGAGCUUUUGAAUAUUUAUAUGCAAGAAUUUCAUCGCCCUGUUCACAUAGCAAAAAACGGAAUCCUCUUCAAUGUUCAAUACUGAGAGACCAGAAAAAGAAAUUAUGGAUGUUUAUGUAUUACAGAAGCUACUAAGGUGGGAAGGAUACCCAGUGAACAGUUGAAAGUGGCUGAUUUUUAGGGAUGAGGGUGGAAUCAAGGCAUUUUUGGAAGCUGGAUUUUUUUUUUUUUUUUUUUUUUUACCUUUUGUAAUUUGCUUUACUCCUCCAAAUUAGCAUGCAUUAUUCAGAAAAUUCAGAAAAAAAUUUUUAAAAAAUUUCAUAAAAAGUAAAGAUGAUAUGUAAAAAAUGAUAUAUCCCUUGAUACAAAUGCAAAAGUGAUCAUGAUAAAAUGUUAGAUGGAAAAAAAAAAACAGGGCAUAAAACACAAAUGCAGUAAGAUGAUGAUUUUGGUCAAAUAUAAUGAGUGCAAAGACUAGAGAGAGAAAUACUAUGAUUUAGCUAUAGUUACCUCUUGUGGCUUUUUAAAAUUUUCUUUUUAAAUAUAUUUUCCUAUUUUCUGCAUUAUGUGUAAUGGGCAUAAAUAUUUUAUUAGCUGUGAACAUAGAAGAAGAACAGUCCUCUUACAGUUGGAUUGGGCUCUCGAUUCUGGGCAUUUCUGAUGUUAUGUUCUCUUUCACUUCGGGUGAUAACCAGAAAAUUGUUUUUCAUAUAAUGUCUUUCCUCUAUAGGGAAAAAGUAAUACGAUGGAACUGCAGUCUUAAGCUUUUGGGUUUUCAAACUGCAACGAGACAGAAAUAAGGCUCUUGGUUGCAUUCUUUGCCACCCUAUUCUUGAAGUAAGGCCUACAGUAAAAGAAGGGAAAAAAAAAAAA